rnacentral:rRNA from 1 species
CCUACGGGAGGCAGCAGUGAGGAAUAUUGGUCAAUGGACGAGAGUCUGAACCAGCCAAGUAGCGUGAAGGAUGACGGCCCGAUGGGUUGUAAACUUCUUUUAUAUGGGAAUAAAAUGUUCCACGUGUGGGAUUUUGUAUGUACCAUAUGAAUAAGGAUCGGCUAACUCCGUGCCAGCAGCCGCGGUAAUACGGAGGAUCCGAGCGUUAUCCGGAUUUAUUGGGUUUAAAGGGAGCGUAGGUGGAUUGUUAAGUCAGUUGUGAAAGUUUGCGGCUCAACCGUAAAAUUGCAGUUGAAACUGGCAGUCUUGAGUACAGUAGAGGUUGGCGGAAUUCGUGGUGUAGCGGUGAAAUGCUUAGAUAUCACGAAGAACUCCGAUUGCGAAGGCAGUUCACUGGACUGCAACUGACACUGAGGCUCGAAAGUGUGGGUAUCAAACAGGAUUAGAUACCCGUGUAGUC